UAAGGGUUAGUUUAAGUUAAGAAUUGUUGGCUGUUAAUCAAAAGGUUUACUCUUAA
rnacentral:tRNA from 1 species